GGUGAACGCUGGCGGCGUGCCUAACACAUGCAAGUCGAGCGGUGCAGCUGGAAGCUUCGGCGGAAGGCUGCAUAGCGGCGGACGGGUGCGUAACACGUAGGAACGUGCCCUCUGGAGGCGGAUAGCUGUGGGAAACUGCAGGUAAUCCGCCAUAGACUCGGGAGAGUAAAGGCUGAAAGGCGCCAGAGGAGCGGCCUGCGGCCCAUCAGGUAGUUGGUAGGGUAACGGCCUACCAAGCCGACGACGGGUAGCCGGUCUGAGAGGAUGGCCGGCCACAAGGGCACUGAGACACGGGUCCUACUCCUACGGGAGGCAGCAGUGGGGGAUUUUGGACAAUGGGCGAAAGCCUGAUCCAGCGACGCCGCGUGGAGGACGAAGCCCUUCGGGGUGUAAACUCCUUUUCUCAGGGAAAAAAGCUGAUGGUACCUGAGGAAUAAGCCCCGGCUAACUACGUGCCAGCAGCCGCGGCAAUACGUAGGGGGCGAGCGUUACCCGGAAUCACUGGGCGUAAAGGGUGCGUAGGCGGCCGAGUGUGUCUGGCGUUAAAAUCCACGGCUCAACUGUGGGUAUGCGCUGGAAACUGCUUGGCUUGAGUGCAGCA
rnacentral:rRNA from 1 species